GUAGAUGUUAACUUAGACUGGCAGCAGAAGGCUGGUUUUGUGUGAGUUUGCCUGGGGAAGAAAAUGGAAGUUACAUGAUCUUCUGGGAGUUUUUUACAGGCAGUCACAACCUGCUCACGUGCCCAAGGCUGAAGUCCAUUAUUGCAUCUCAGUGCCAGAACCCACGAUCACAGUUCACCCUGGGUUUAAAGGAAAGCCUAUGAGAUGAGAAGCUUUUUGGACACAUGACCAGCAUUCAGAUGAAACACCUGCUCCCACUGAGAACCUUCAAAGCCAAUUUCAUCUACUUUUUGACCCCUUCAGAAUAACUGCAAUUGAAGGAUAAAUGCCCCAUGUCCUCUCUGCCAGUCGGUGUUUAUCAGAGGCCAGUGGAAGAAGAGGGACAAAGGUGCCUGCCUGGAUGUUUAUCUGUGAGCCCAAGUCUGGCACGCAGGUGCCAGUGAAGCUGCCUCAUAAGAAAGCAAACCUUCCAGAAUCUUCCAUUGGAGAAUUGUCACCUGCAAAGACCUCUGAGAGGCUUCCUUUCUUCCUCCCUUCCCAUGGGCUGGAACCUGGAUGUGCUGGCCACCCCAUUAAACCACACAGAUGCAACAUGCCCCGUACCAUAGGAGGCAAUGAGAAGGAGAAUCUGGAUCUCGUCAUUACUGUGGGAAACACAACAUUCUACCAGCCUGCCGUGUCCAACUCCAGAGUGUGAAAGAGAAUGCAAUUCAAUUCUAGGAACUACUGUAUUUUGAUGUCUGUUUAAUGGAAGAGCUGAGGGUUUUUUUUUCCCCUCUGUGAAUAUACAGAACUUUUCUGGGCUGGGAAGCAGAGAAAUGAUUUCAAGUCAAUAUCUUGUCUUCCCUCAUUUUUUCCUUCAUUCUAAAAAUAUUCCUGAAAAUACACUAGCUCUGUACCAGCAGUGCCAUAGUUAA